rnacentral:lncRNA from 1 species
AAGUUUAUUUGGGGUUUCUUGUAGACAAAACUCCAUGAUACAGUUUGUGAUAAAAGACAAGCAGCAACUAUAGCAACCCAUGACAUGUCCAAACUAAAAGCUCCUCUUGUGUUUGAUGCUAAGAUUCCUGCUAAAAUCAAGUUAAUUCCUCUGUUUGGUAAGGAAGAGGUUGAUGCACAUAGCCUUGUUUCAUCUUUGAGAAAAGAAGCUGAUGAAAUUCGUAAAGA